GAUGAACGCUAGCUACAGGCUUAACACAUGCAAGUCGAGGGGAAACGAUAGAGAGAGCUUGCUUUUUCUAGGCGUCGACCGGCGCACGGGUGAGUAACGCGUAUCCAACCUGCCCACCACUUGGGAAUAACCUUGCGAAAGUAAGACUAAUGCCCAAUGAUAUCUUUAGAAGACAUCUGAAGGAGAUUAAAGAUUUAUCGGUGAUGGAUGGGGAUGCGUCUGAUUAGCUUGUUGGCGGGGUAACGGCCCACCAAGGCGACGAUCGGUAGGGGUUCUGAGAGGAAGGUCCCCCACAUUGGAACUGAGACACGGUCCAAACUCCUACGGGAGGCAGCAGUGAGGAAUAUUGGUCAAUGGGCGAGAGCCUGAACCAGCCAAGUAGCGUGCAGGAUGACGGCCCUAUGGGUUGUAAACUGCUUUUAUAAGGGAAUAAAGUUAGUCUCGUGAGACUUUUUGCAUGUACCUUAUGAAUAAGGACCGGCUAAUUCCGUGCCAGCCGCCGCCGUAA
rnacentral:rRNA from 1 species